AUGAAAUUCUCACCCGACAAGCCGCCUGUGUGUCCCUUCUGCUCCACCGCACUCCACUGCACGCAAGUCCCUAGCGGCGCCGGCUCACCACAAGGACAUCAACACCACCCUGUGAGCACACCUUUCUCCUCCUCAUCACACGGGUCCCCAGCAAUGCUCAAGCUCCGGCCUCUCUCAUAUGCCAUUACUGGCCUGAAUUUACUUGACCGGAGGAAGAAUUGCUUGUUUGCUUGUUGCUGCUUCCCUUCUCCGAUGACCCGACCCCUUCACAUGGACAGCGGGGAGAGCAAGCAGUACAAUACUCCACUCUGUCAGACCUUAAAGAUAGGAUAUGCAGGGCGCAGCGAGACUUGGCAGCUUCCUCCAGACCACGACUCGCGCCAACGAGAAGAGAAGAGGGAAAUGCACUUGCCGAGUGUCCCUGCGGUGCGGCCGGCCUCCGGCCGCCGGCCAUCGGCCAGCCAGCUACGCUGCAGCCCGGCGACGGCCAGAAGAAGACCUGGCUGCUUCCCUUCACCGACGACCCAGACUCCGCACUGGUCCACCAUGGAUAAGGUGCAGCUCGUCCUCAUGAAGAAAGGGGAUGUCUGGGCGGGGGAUUCGCCGGUGGUGGAUGCAACGGCGGCGGACCUGCAAAAGUACAGGGAUCUGUACAAGCAGCCGCUGCCCGACAAGUUCGUCGUCGCGGUCACUGAGCUGGUGAACUCAACGGGCGGCCACGGCAAGAAGACCGGACACGUUGAACUGGAGCAGGCGCUAUUUGGCGUGUGUCGGAAGAUGUGUGUGGUUUCUUGCUGUGAUCCCCUCUGCGGGAUCGGGAGGAGGAUAUGGUUGGAUAUCGGAGAGUCGAUGUACUGUCAGAGUGAUUGUCCAGCUAAGAGGAGAGCUGUGCAAAUUUUUGUGGCUGAAUUAAAGUGCAAUGUGGUUUGUUUACAAGAGACAAAGAUCAGUGACAUGUCUAGGAACCUGGUGCUGGAAUCUUUGGGGUCAAGAUUUGCUGACAAUUUUAUCAGUUUGCCUGCUAUUGGGUCUCGAGGAGGGAUCCUCAUUGCUUGCACCGAUGAUUUUGAGGUGUCUGAUAUUCCCUUGGCAGCGGGAGCUCAUUCGAUUUCAGGUACUAUCAGGGACAAAUCUGAUGGCAAUUGUUGGUCAAUCACAGGGGUCUACGGCCCACAGUUAGAGGCCGAUAAGAUGGAGUUCAUGUCUGAAUUGAGAAGGAUCCAGCAGCACAUGUUGUCGAGAUGGAUGGUGUUGGGGGAUUUCAACAUGAUCAGUAGGGCUGUUGACAAGAGCGACAAUAACUGCAAUCUGAGGAUGAUGGGCAGAUUUAGGGCACUCAUUGAGGAUUUGGAAUUAAUCGAUUUUCCCUUGCUGGGGAGAAGAUUUACUUGGUCAAACGAGCGUCAAAGCGUCACCCUGACCAGAAUUGACAGGGUUUUAGUCUCCGGCGAGUGGGAGGCUGCUUUCCCACAAUUUCAACUAACUCCCGCAUCGACCAACAUAUCUGAUCAUUGCCCGUUGAUUUUGAAAAAAAUGCAGCCCUCUCAUUAUAAGGCUUUCCGGUUCGAGAAUCAUUGGCUAAAAUCCCAGGAGUUUGAUGGGGUUGUUGCUCAAGCUUGGAAUAGAGAGGUCCAAUCUGGAGACCCAGUUCGAGUGUUACAUACGAAACUUUCCAGAUCAGCGGCGGCCUUAAAAAAUUGGAACAAGAAAAAGAAUAUAUUGCAUGAUUUUGGUGGGAUACUGGGCUCUCUCCCAUGUCAAUAUUUGGGACUACCACUUGGGUUUCGUAAACCGCGGAGGGCAGAGCUUCAACCGGUCCUCGAAAAAGUUGCGGGGAAGCUUGCUCCUAGGAAGGGAAGGUUAUUAAACAGGAUGGGAAGGCUGGUGUACAUCAAUUCUGUGGUUACGGCAACCGCCACUUUCUUCUUGACGGUCUUCCCGCCUGACAAGUGGCUCACCAAAAAGGUGGACAAGCUGAGGAGAAAUUUCCUAUGGUGUGCGGAGGAUGAAUCACUAGGGAGGAAAAGCCUUGUAAAUUGGAAACGAGUGUGUGCCCCCAAGCGUUUUGGUGGCCUAGGAGUGAAGGAUAUAGAUUGUUUCUGUAGGGCCUUGCGCAUUCGAUGGGAAUGGUUCAGGUGGGCUGAAGAGGAUAGGCCAUGGAAGGGUACAGCGACUCCAUGUGAUGACACUGAUCGGCAACUCUUCUCCAGCUGCACUUGCAUCGAGUUGGGAGAUGGUAGUGUUGCAACCUUCUGGAAAGAUCGGUGGCUCAAUGGCGAGGCCCCACAGCACCUAGCACCGGAUAUCUUCAAGCUGGCUAGGUGUAAACGGCUCACGUUCAAAGAGGCUAUAAGCACUGGGCGAUGGAUGCAAGGUAUACAGCGAAUGGACAGCCACGAGCAGCUAUGUCAAUUUGUUGGCCUGUGGGAAAAAUUGCAGCCGGUGAACUUGUCAACUCAAAGGGACAAAAUCAACUGGAAUAUCUCUGCCAAUGGAAUAUACUCAGCGAGUUCUGCUUAUGGGGUCCAAUUCUCUGCCAGGAUUGAGCAGCCUGAGAUUGCCCGGGUGUGGAGAAGCAAGCUAGAAGGGAAGGUGAAAUUCUACAUGUGGCUUCCGCUGCAGAACAGAAACUGGACUGCCGACCGGCUACAGGCGAGAGGAUGGCCACAUAACGCCUCUUGCAAAUUUUGUGACCAGGAGCAGGAGACCGCGAUGCAUCUCACGCUUCAAUGCUGUUAUGCGAGAGAGGUCUGGCAUCUCUUCCUUGGUGCCAACAGCAGGAUGUACAAUGGUGUGUCUUCGGCAAGUUCAGUUUCAGAUUGGUGGAAGAUGCUUUGUACGCAAAGAGGAGCACCAGCAAGGACGGACGAAGAGAUAACUCUGUCGGCGUACAUCGCCUGGCAUCUAUGA
rnacentral:rRNA from 1 species